ensembl:lncRNA
UUCACAUCUGUAUUUUGGAUUUUAAAAUUUGCGAUACAAUUAACACUAUUUUUGAAUAUCUUUUUCAGACAACGGCAAGGACAAAGGGACAAACUGCCAAGCAGUAUGACAAAGGAGGAUUUUGUGGAAAUCUCUGGAUGGGUCAAAGUAGCUUUAAAGAAGGUUCCAGCUCUUGAGUCCUCAGGAAGAAUCUCAAUCUCCAGCAGCCCUCGUAAAGUGGUGCACGGAGAGAAAAAUGAUUCUUCUAUUCAGGUGAUCUGUAACCAGAGACAUGUUGAGAAAAAGAGCAGCAGUUGUAGCGCCUCUCUUCUUUUAAUGUCCGCUUCUCCACGCAGCAGAACAUCUCAACAAGAGCCUCUCAGCUCCUUCUUUGGCUUCAGAAAGGACAGGAUUUUCAACAGAAUCCAUAGAGAGGUCACCUGGUCCAUAAGGAAAAUGUUACCACCUAAGAUAAUAUAUUAUCUGAGCAGGAAAGCAACUUUCAGCCUCAUGUCUGCUAUUUUGAAUGACUCCCUAAAGCAGAUGAACCUGUCUCUUAUGGAGAUCUAUUCCCAUGCUGAGGGUCUUUUUUUGACUGGACGUUCUACUGAGGAUGUUGCCCAAAACCUGCUGGUUGCGGCUUUGGCCAAGAUGCAGGAUUUUGUGAAGCUCUGCACAUUGUCUGACUGGUUAAGUGGCACUCGAGGUUCUCCCAUCAACAAUCACGAAGAACUGGAGAUGUUGCCCUCUGUCACAACUGCAGCAGUGGGCAACUGCAGCAGUAUGCUGAGUGUCUGCAGUGAGGGAACGUGUGAUUUUAAUGAAUAUGGCUCAGACAGGCCCCUGUGGCACUUCCUACAGUCUGUGUGUGAUAACAUCAACUCUGCCACACCAAGGCAGUCCACUCGUGCUUGUUGCAGUAUGGCAAACGAACAACUUUCCAUUGUUAUUUCCAAGUUAUUUGUCAUAUGAAGGCUCAUCUGAUGAAAGUUUGACCCAGCUGUGCUCCGAAUAUGAAGAGCUUGAUGCUGUGGAAACACCAAGUCAAGUAUCUCUCCAAUUAUCUGUAAAAUACCACAGACCACAGCUGGUCUGCAAAAUCAGGUGUUGCAGUGCGGGAGUAUGUGAAGAAAAAACCUCGUUGUGAAAGGGUCUUGGAGGCAAUCAUUUUUGAUUGUACAAAUGAGGAUCACAUCCGGGGCACAGACACUAAUGAGAUAAAUACACAGGCUCUCUUCAGGAUGUCCUGUGAGGCUUUCCAGCUUGAGGCUUCUAAGAGGGUUAGUGAUAUCAUUAUGAGAGAGACCUCAGAGAUCACCAAAGUAUCAGAUACCAUCAAAACCCAAGACUCAAACUUUAAAAAUUCAUAUAUGAGCACAUCUCAAGUGUCUAAAGCUAAGCUGAAAAGCAGUGCAUUUGCUUCCACAGCAUCAGUGAACUCACUUACGUAUUCAGAUGCACUUUUGAGGAGGAUUUAGACAUGAAGUUAGCUCAUCCUUUUACUGACUCAGAACUACAGAUCCCAAGUUCAACUGGUGUCAGAAAACAUCCUGAGGUCCACCCAGGAUAAACUCAAGAGAUUUUUUGACAAACCUCCUCAUGAGAGCUGAAGCAAACAUGUCAGCCCAAUAUGGUGCCAGCUUGAGGUACAAACUCAUAUCAAGUGUAAAAAACAUAACAAAGAACAUUAUUGAAUGCCUUGUGUCAGUACUACCAUGCUCUGAAGUGCACAGUUCUAGAAGGAUAAUAACCAAAGAAAUCCUGCGAUUUCUGAAUGAGAAUCUGGACAUUUUUUAUCUAGGACAGCUUUUAGCACCAUCUGCAACACAUUUAGAAGCCCUCAGUGAUCUUAUUAUUGUAGAUGUUUUUGAAAGGAUUGCUGAAACAGUGGAAAACAUUGUGGCCCUUAAGGAGUCUGAGUCUUUCUUGAAAGCAAUGGAUAGGAUAGAAACGGAAAAACAAAGUGGGUGUUUCCACAGAGGACCGGACGCUGGAUAAGCGUAUUCCAAAUGGUACUUGUUUCUUUAAUUCAUGACAGUAUUAUGUAUUUUAAGUUUUUUCCAAAGCCUUUGAUAUGAAAAAAAAUAAAGUGGUUGCAUGAACAAAAAUCAUUAACAAUUAUUAACCUUCCUGCUGGCACACCAUUUACAUUUUAUGGCAUUUAGCUGACAUUUUCAUCCAAAGAAACUUACAAUUAUGAUAACCUGAGCAAUUGAGGGUUAAAGGCUUUGCUCAGGGACCCAACAAUGGCACCUUGGUUGUCAGGCUUGAACUAGCAACCUUUUGAUUACUAGUCAAGUAGCUUAACAACCAAGCUACCACUGCUCUGAUUCAUAUAUCAGUAUUAUUGGCUUAAUAGUAUAUUUGACAAAAAUAACUUUCUGCCAAUCACAUCUCUAAUGCUCUGCUCUAAACACAGUCAUGUUACCAGUCCUAACAUGGAAUGCUGUAGCCUGAUCAUUAGUUAACUCAGAGGUUUAUAUGAGAUGGUCCAAUGAAGUAGACAGGUAACUCAGUCUUUUUUUUAUAGGAGGGUGGGAACAUGUCCCCUCAAUAAUUCCUGUGCACACUACUCAGGUGGUGUGUUAGGUUGGGAGGUGUGAGCAGUGUUCUCUCCCACCUGCUAAAAAAGAAGCUGAAAUGGAUUCUACACCACUAAAUUAACCUAAGAUAUUUUUGUCAUCAUUGUUUUUCAUGCCGUUUUAGUUGUACAGCAUGAAAGACAAAAGCUUUGUUGUAUAACACAAAACAUCCCUCUUCCAUCAUCUUUGGCCUUUGAAUGUAAUUUUGUCUGCUUUUUUCCUCUCUUUUACAGGUUUACAAUGUUUGUCUGCUACUCCUGUUUAUGAGCCAUCCCGAUCUUCCAGGGCUAUCCCUAAACCCAACAGAAAGUCAUGGUUUACCAGACUUGCAAUGGCUUUCUCCAAAUACUGUGAAAAAUAAGUAAAAUGCUUACUUAGCUGUUUCUUGAAGUUUAACAUUUGUUGUACAAUUAAAAUAAAAA